AUUGGCCAUGGGUCGUGCUGGUGAGUGCCACGUGCUGCAACGUCAUAUCCGGUUGAGUAAUCUUCAGCGUCGGGAUCAUCUACACGGAUAUACGGGACAGGUUGCGCACCACUGGUGUGCAGACAUCAGCAGUGGCAGCCGUUGAUUUCGCAUGUGCCUGCUUUGUUGCUCCUGUGUUCAAAGCUUGGGCGCAGGGUGGCGACAGUUAUAGGUUCACUGGUGAUGGCUGGGGGACUCUUCCUGUGCUCCUUUGCACCAACGAUUGACUACUUGUAUGCAUUCUUUGGCGUUCUAGCAGUUGGUGAGUAUACACGUAUGGAUGAAGGACAUCCUGAACUAAAAGCGCCGUCAGAAAAAAAUCAAGGAAGAAAAUCCCUUUUCGGUCGAUCGUAGUGAGUCUACGAUACAGCAGGCAGAGCGCGAAACAUUGAAAUCCAAGUCAAAGUCAUCAUAUAAGACACUUGAAGGACCAUCUGAAACAAUUGUUGUAUCUACAUUGGAAAAGUCGUGGAAAUUUUAGGACAUUACAUUAUACGAAUCCGAAGAUGAAGAAACUGAAAGCAAUAAUACAAAUGGAUCUGCUGAACCAGUAAAGCAGCCCACAGUUAUUCCUCAAGCAAGUCCUGCAGUUGAAAGCAUCCCUAGUGCUCAAGAAAACAAUCGCGAGCUGCCUGAAAUGCAUAAAUAUUUGAAAUAGUCGUGGGAAUCCAUAACCUGAAAACGCUGUGUGAUUGUCGUAUCGUUUGGCAUACCCUUUCCGCCAUCUUGUACAGCAUUGGUGUAGGCUACCCAUAUAUAUUUUAUCCUGAUGUCGCUAAAAGCAGGGGUUACAAAGAUAGAACUUCCGUCUGGGCACUGCCAAUAAUGGGCCUUGUGGGAAUCCCAGGCAUUAUAUGUUUUGGUGCCAUGACCAGAACAAUCAGAAGGCGGAUUGUCAGUGGGGGUGUCAUACUCUUGGCGGGCUUGUCAACAAUCACUGCAGCACUUGGCAUAGCCUUUGAGAGUUACUAUACUAGCAUUGGUCUAAUAAUAUUGUCUUCUCUCAUAUUUGUAUGUUUUAGUGUGGUGUACAGGUUCGUACAAGAAGAGGUGCUGAAAGAGAUCUUCGAUCACCACAUUGUGUCUCAAGUGUUCUUCUUUCUCUCGUGGGUAUCGGGCUUUGGAUAUUUGCUUGGAAUAAUUAUUGGAGGUUGGCUAAGGGACCACUAUGGCGAUUAUGGGAAUAGCUUCGUGGUUGCCGCAAUAUGUUCGGGCCUUGCAGGGGCUAUGCUUGCACCUUUGAUGGCAUUUCGGAGAACGAACAGAGAAGACGCAAUACAAUAUAGAUCUCUUCAUUUUGUGGUGAUCUACUAGAAAACUACCAGUCUAAAUUUGUGAACAACAGCAAACUUCGUUGUUCUGGUUACUUAAGAACAAUGCGUUUCAUAGGAAAACAAAACAUAAAUGUAUACCCAGUUACUGAAAUCAUAGCUUACAUUAUCCAUUACUACAUGAAACGUGAUUAUCAAAUUGAACAUAUUCAUUAAGGAUUUUAAUUGACCGUUAAAAGUUUUGAGCAACUCGCAUAUUAAUUUAUAUUUUUAUUAGUUAGAAACAAUACAUAAUUUUAACAUAAUUACAUACUUGUGUAUGUUGUCCAUUUUUUGUUUCAAUUAUGAAUGCAACUUGCUUUACAUAUAUAUGUAUAUUAUUUGCUUAAAGUAUGCUUGAACUAUUAUAAACACUUAUCAA